rnacentral:rRNA from 1 species
GUCGUCGUCGACGUACGUCUACGAGAGUUAGGUUAGUACUAUGGCUCAGGACGAACGCUGGCGGCAUGCCUAACACAUGCAAGUCGAACGGAAGUAGAAAUACUUUAGUGGCGAACGGGUGAGUAACACGUGAGCAACCUGCCUUAUACACAGGGAUAACAGUUGGAAACGACUGCUAAUACCGGAUAAGACCACACUAUGGCAUCAUAGAGGGGUCAAAGCGAAUAAGCGGUAUAAGAUGGGCUCGCGUCCAAUUAGCUAGUUGGUGAGGUAACGGCCCACCAAGGCGACGAUUGGUAGCCGACUUGAGAGAGUGAUCGGCCACACUGGAACUGAGACACGGUCCAGACUCCUACGGGAGGCAGCAGUGGGGAAUAUUGGGCAAUGGAGGAAACUCUUACCCAGCAAAUGCCGCGUGAGUGAUGAAGGUCUUUGGAUUGUAAAGCUCUUUGAUUGGGGACGAAUAAAUGACGGUACCCAAAGAACAAGCCCCGGCUAACUAUGUGCCAGCAGCUGC